UUGAAGACUGAGGGCAGGAAGAGAAAGGGGUGACAGAGGAUGAAAUGGUUGGAUGGCAUCACUGACUCAAUGAACAUGAGCCUGAGCAAACCCUGGGAGACAGUGAAGGACAGGGAAGCCUGGCAUGCUGCAGUCCAUGGGGUUGCAAAGAGUCGGACACAACCGAGCGACUGGACAACAGCAACAGCAAAUACUGAGUAUAGUGAGAAUUUAGUUCCCUGACUAGGGAUCAAACCCAGGCCUUCAGCCGUGGAAGCAUGGAAUUCUGACCACUGGACCACUAGGGAAUUCUGCCAUGUUCACUCAAAAUGAUUGUUUUAAAGGGGUCUAUGUUUGUUGAAGGCAUGUUAGCAUCUUCUCAUGCCAAGAAUUGGCUACAAGAAGCCCCUCAUCUGAGCUACCAGAAAUGUGUGAG